AGACCCCCUUUCCUCUACCCAGAGGAAGAAUUGUCAGCUGUGCGCCUAGUGGUGUACUCUGAUUAAAAGCAGUAGGUGUAUGACCUGGCUGGUGGCCUGGGACAUUGUGUGCUAGAGACACGGUUCUUCCGAACGUCUUCCUCACAGUGCGUCCCGGGUCUUACAAGCUGGCUAGGCCAUCGCCUGCACAGUACGCAAGUACAACCCCAAAA
rnacentral:misc_RNA from 1 species